CGCACCUUGCGCCCUUUGGUAUUCUGAAGGGCAUGCCUGUUUGAGUGUCAUGAAAAACUCACCUAAGGGUUUCCUUAGUGUGGACGUGGUCGUUGCGAUUCGCUCGACUUAAAGACCUUAGCGGUGGACGCGUCGUAGGCGUAAUAAGUUUCGUCUUCUAGCCUUAAGCUGCUCAUAACCCCUAUUUUUGCAUCAGACCUCAAAUCAGGUAGGACUACCCGCUGAACUUAA
rnacentral:misc_RNA from 1 species